UACGGGGGGGGCUAGCGUUGUUCGGAAUUACUGGGCGUAAAGGGCUCGUAGGUGGCCAACUAAGUCAGCUGUGAAAUCCCUCGGCUCAACCGAGGAAUUGCGGCUGAUACUGGAUGGCUUGAAUCCGGGAGAGGGAUGCGGAAUUCCAGGUGUAGCGGUGAAAUGCGUAGAUAUCUGGAGGAACACCGGUGGCGAAGGCGGCAUCCUGGACCGGUAUUGACACUGAGGAGCGAAAGCCAGGGGAGCAAACAGG
rnacentral:misc_RNA from 1 species